rnacentral:rRNA from 1 species
GAUGAACGCUGGCGGCGUGCCUAAUACAUGCAAGUCGAGCGGACGGACGAGAAGCUUGCUUCUCUGAUGUUAGCGGCGGACGGGUGAGUAACACGUGGAUCACCUACCUAUAAGACUGGGAUAACUUCGGGAAACCGUAGCUAAUACCGGAUAAUAUUUUGAACCGCAUGGUUCAAAAGUGAAAGACGGUCUUGCUGUCACUUAUAGAUGGAUCCGCGCUGCAUUAGCUAGUUGGUAAGGUAACGGCUUACCAAGGCAACGAUGCAUAGACGACCUGAGAGGGGGAUCGGCCACACUGGAACGUGGCCACGGUCCAGGCUCCUGCGGGAGGCAGCAGUAGGGAAUCUUCCGCAGUGGGCGAAAGCCUGGCGGAGCGACGCCGCGUGAGUGAUGAAGGUCUUCGGUUCGUAAAACUCUGUUAUUAGGGAAGAACAUAUGUGUAAGUAACUGUGCACAGCUUGACGGUACCUAAUCAGAAAGCCACGGCUAACUACGUG